rnacentral:tRNA from 2 species
GGAGAGAUGGCCGAGCGGUCUAAGGCGGUAGACUCAAGUUCUAUUCUUCGAAUGAAGGCGCGGGUUCGAAUCCCGCUCUCUUCA